CUCUAGAACACCACGGGGAAGACGGAGGAGCUGCCCCAGACUGAGGGUCGGGAGAACAGCGGAGUACAGUAGCGGCGGCCGCACUCACCAGCUCCGGUAGGAAGAAGGCGAAGGGGAUGGUAAGGAGCACGCCAACGACCCCCGAGGGCACGUCGGGCGGGGCGUAGCUGGUGGCCGGCGGUGUGUCCCGGGAAGCCAUGCUGUCACCUCUGCCGGCACCCUUGCUCCGCGGCACUCGCCCGCGCCCGCAGCUGUUCAAGUAUCACCUCCCGCCCGACAGACACACCCAUCGGACGAGGGACGGACGUCGCCUGGGAGGGGAAAAAGAAAGGUUCCAGAAGAGCUGGUCCUUCUGCGCUCUGAGGCCAGCCAGCCGGGAGAGGGGUCAGGACCGGCCUCGCGAGGCUCUUUUCUAGACUUUCCCUCGGAAGGAACUUUUGAAUCCUGGAGCAAAGGACUCCAGGAGAUAGGAGUGACAGCCAUAGGCUCAGAGUAUAAGCAGGUUUUUUUUUUCUUUGUUGUUGGUUUGCUGAGAUAAAGACCACGUCUUGAGGACCUACUAUGUGUAGCCAUCAACAGACACCUCUGGAGCUCAGAUAGUCCACCACGUGACUCUGUUAUUACUUGUCCAAGAAGGGAGACUGGAUACCAAAGAGACCUAACUCAGCCUGCUGCUGGGCCUCACUUCUUGUCACACACAUGCCCCAGGACUGUUUCCAGGAUGUUUUUGGCUCCUUGACAACGCUUUCCUGUUUUGGAAGCUAAAGAGUGGCAUUUAAAAAGCCAGAGAGGUUUUGCUGAAAAAACAAGAUUCCAUUGACUGAAAAGGAGGAGUUUCUCAUGGGCAAAGGUUCCUCUGAUAUUAAAGCUGGCAAACUCGUCUUCAACCAUAAAAGCCCAUUGUUCUAAAGGUUGUACCACGAGAUGGGAUUAUAACUGGACCAUGGCUUCCCUUCAAGAAAGCUAUGUCCAAGAACACCGGACACAGCUUACUUCAUGGAUAAAACCUAAUAAAACUCCUCAAGUUUCCUUCUGGGUCUCUUCUAAAAUCCUUUACCUAGAAGACAAAGAACCUAUAAAAGGGAGCUUAUGCCUCCCUGUCUCAUGACAUUGCUCUCAGCAAGAAUUUCAACUGACAUGGCCACAGUCCUGCUGGACAUGUGCUGUUCCUGCCUCUCUGCACUGCCAGAAGAAUCAUCCUUCAGUGAAACGUCCUGGUCACCCAGCACUCCCUGCCUUCCUCGAUCUCCACAUGCAGCCUCUGGUCUUGACCACUCAUGGCUCCUCCCCAUAUAUCACGCCAGACUGGAUCCAAUCUGCCUCAAAAGGUUUCUGUUGAUCCCCCCACAUCUGUGCCAUCAUCCCUGUCAACAGGUCAAAGUGUGGCCCCAGCCUUUCAUUAGGUCCCUUUCACCUAAGGAUCUUUAAUGAGACAGAGUUCUGAUCAUCAUUUGCUGCUUUCAUUAAAUCUUUGAGGCUUCCAAAACAAACCUGGCCAUGGCACCUACCAUAUUAUCUGUAUAUGAGCUUUGCAUGGUCACAAGGCUUCUCUUUUUGUUGACACUAAAGCUUCAGGCUGAGACACAUAAGACAGUGGUUUUGGAAAUUCAAAUUUAGCCCAAAAUCCAAGAUUUCAAACUGUUCACUUUAAUAUCCAGCCGCUAUUUCAGAUAGCACAGUAUGCUGAAUUCAAUUAAAGAAUGUUAUGCUCACCCUGACUCUCCUGAAAGUUUAGCCCGCUGUCCACAGACUGCUCUGGAGUUUCGCUCUUAGAGCACCCUCUUGGGCAUCUUACAUGGCAGAAUGUAACAGGCCAGAAAGUACAGUGCUGAACUCAGCAGUCCCCCUGCUUCAGGAAAGGUAGCCCCUGGGGAGUAAUAUUCAUUAUGCUUGGAAGGAUGAAACUGAGUUAGCUAGACAAUGAACAGGAACUGGGAAAUACCAGGUUACAGCAGGUUUCAUCAUAGUACGUG